GACAGAGGAUGCAAGCGUUAUCCGGAAUGAUUGGGCGUAAAGCGUCUGUAGGUGGCUUUUAAGUCCGCCGUCAAAUCCCAGGGCUCAACCCUGGACAGGCGGUGGAAACUACCAAGCUGGAGUACGGUAGGGGCAGAGGGAAUUUCCGGUGGAGCGGUGAAAUGCGUAGAGAUCGGAAAGAACACCAAGCGGCAGAAGACUCUGCUGGGCCGACACUGACACUGAGAGACGAAAGCUAGGGGAGCGAAUGGGAUUAGAACCGUCGAGU
rnacentral:rRNA from 1 species